UGAGCAGGCGGCAGAUUAAGUUUGAGGUUAAAGCGUGGGGCUCAACCCCAUAAAGCCUUGAAAACUGAUCAGCUAGAGUACGAGAGAUGUGAAGGGAACUCCAUGUGUAGCGGUGAAAUGCGUAGAUAUAUGGAAGAACACCAGUGGCGAAGGCGCUUCACAAGCUCGAAACUGACGCUCAGUCACGAAAGCGUGGGUAGCAAAUA
rnacentral:rRNA from 1 species